CAUGUGAAAUUUCACUUGUGAUUUCAUGUGAAAUCUUUUCACAUGUGAAAUGUCACAUGCGAUUUCAUGUGAAAUUGUUUCACAUGUGAAAUGUCACAUGUAAUUUCAUGUGAAAUACUUUCACAUGUGAAAUGUCACAUGUGACUUCAUGUGAAAUCAUUUCACAUGUGAAAUGUCACAUG